rnacentral:lncRNA from 1 species
AUACACCACACCAACACCGACAAACAACAAACUCCAGAAACCUAACGGACGACCCAGCCCCCGACCCGACAUCCGCGUCUAGCAAAGACAAACCCGACACUAACAAGAAAUUCAAACAACUAAACCCAAAAUGAUCGAGUUGGCAUAAAUUAAAAAAUCCAAAAUCCUUCUUUGAAUUUCAAAUUCAUCCUUGUAUAGUACGAUUCCACCUCAUCCUAUCCUAAUCCCUUCUCUAAAUUCAUUUUCCCCCUCAAAAUUCUCCCCAAAAUCCAAGAAUUUUUAAAAUUUGACACCCUACGUGAUUCCAUUCGUCGAUAGUAUGAUCAAGGACGAAAUACAAUUUUGGGUCGUCCAUUUUUUUAGAUGAAUCAACCGACAUUUGAUUCAAAAGAUUUUCCUUCAAGAAUUCCCAAAUUACCCCUCAAGUGGUUCAUCCCACAUCAGUGAAAAAUUAAAAUCCACCCUCAUUUUGGCCUCAUAUAAAUAGCUGGUUAUGGAGAAAAUUUUCCAGGUCUUGAAUGUUGAAAAAACGAUCAAGAAAAAGUUUAUGUCCUAGUAAGAAAAUUUUUUCAUAAAAUCGGGUACUUUUCGAAGUCCUCGGAGUCACGAUAAAUCUUCCCGGUGGUGGUCAAGAUACUAUCGAACCCUCGAGUCUCGUUUUGCUGCCCCAAAUGAGGUAAACUUCUCGACGCUUUAUUUUUUUCGUUAUUUUGCCUCAUUUUUGCUUUCGAAGUAGUAGUAGUAAUUUAGUUCACUUAUGCUUGCUGGGAGUCGCUGUAGAAGCCUUGAAAGGCAUACGAUCUAUGUGCGCUAAAAUGUAAUAGUUUUGCUGUAGUCGAUUCAUUAUUUGGUCUGUAUGCUAGCAUGUCCUUCUUUUACUGUCGGAUUCAUGUUUACAGGUGUAAAAUAGUGUAAAGUCCCUGUUUUACUUUGCUGGUUGAUUGUAAACAGAUUUUGAAUGUCUUUUUUUUUUUUGUCAAUUGAAAUUUUCGUAGUUGUUCCAUUAGAAUAUAUGUCCUUAAGUGUGAUUUAUCUUUCUCUUGAUUAAUUUCGUUAGCAAUCUCUAUAGGAAAGAAUAGUUUUUGAAAUGUCAUUCUUUUAUGAUCAUAAGUUUGUUCUUUUUCGCCUAUUUCUUUGUGUUUGAUAUUUGACGAUUGCUUCAAUCGAGUUCGGUUUGAAAUACCUAUUCUUUCUAUUUUCCACUUUUGUUUACCAAAAUUAAGUUAUAGUCUUGUGAAUGUGGAGAAUUUCUUCUUUUUUUGGGGAACUGAUCUUUGGUAAAGUAGUGAAGUGUUCUCGAGGUUAGAUAGGUGUUUUAUCUUCCUAUGAGAUUGUAAAACGUUGACUUGUUGGUUGAAUUUAUUUAGUCUUUCCAAUUCUAAAACUUUGGCAAGUGGUGUAUUCCUGUAUUUGGGUUGUAAAGGAAGCUUGAAUAUGGUGACUUUGUUACCAUGUUUAAAGCUCUUGCCUAAGAAAAUCUACUUGUCUACGCAUAUUCUCGCCUCUCUCGUUCUCUCUAUAUGAUAAUCUGAAGAUAUUCGCGAAGUUUUUAAUCAUAAUGAUAUUCUCGCCUCUCUCGUUCUCUCUAUAUGAUAAUCUGAAGAUAUUCGCGAAGUUUUUAAUCAUAAUGAUAUGCAACAAAUCAUAUAACUUUCCUUGCUCGUUCUCUUUUGGUCUAAAUAAAUAUAUUGAUAACCUGAGGGUGAAAUAGUUUUCUAUAUAUGCAAUCCUAUGGCUGAGAAAAGAAUGAUCCCUCGUUAAAAUUAUGUGAUGUUUGCUUUGAUGUGAUUGUUUUUCGUAGCCCCAAAUGAAUACUAAGGACGUAUGUUCCCAAUCCCUCUUAUUUGUUUGCCUUAUUUGUUUACGGUUGAUUAACAUUUGCUUAGGAUGUACAAUCAAUCACCUUUCUUUCUUUUAGUUUACUGUAUAGUGGUUUAAAAUUAGAUAUGAAUAAUAACUCUUAGAAAAUAGGAUUCUAUUAACUUAUGAUUUAUUUUUUCUUUGAUCUUUUGUCAACUUUCCCUCUCCCUUGUUAAAUAUUUAAAGCAUCCACUCAAUGACCUCGCUUGGCGAAAGAUUUUCAUAGUGUUAAAUGUAAUUGUUUGACUGCACUCGCUCGGAAUUAUGAAGCUUUUCUUUGAAUCCAGCUUGUCUUCUCUACGAACUUGAAUUUUUGUGGUCAUAUGCUUUCCCCAGUUCGUGAAGUAUAUUUUUUCCUGUAUUCGUUGCUUGUAUAUCCUUUACAGUAUCGUAAGUCCUCUCUCAUGUUAAGCCGACAGUUUGAACUGAGUAUAAAUUCUGUUAUACUUUCUCUUUGCAUGAACUUGCCUUGGAGUCCAACUGGACUCAAUUUUGCCUUGCAUUUUCUGCAUGGCCAAUGAAGCCCAUCUUCUCGAGUCAAGAUUCAGAAUAAGUCCGAAAUCAACUACAUAGCGCAUAAAUGCAAGGAGUCGAAAGAAAAAGAAUGAGUUAAAGUCCACUUUAAGGCGGCUAAAAGACUUGAAUGUCUCAUUUUAUUUAUUUAUUCAUUCAUUUCAUUGUUGUGUUUAAUUAUUUAUUUAUUUAUUUAUUUAUUUAUUUAUUUAUUCAUUUCAUUAUUCAGUCAUUUGGGCUUCGAAGCCAAAGUUGUAAAUUUAAUACAGGUGGAACAGAUUUUGGGCCAACAGGCCUGAAAAUAUAGUUUAGGGCAUGUUACGGGCUAAGGCCCAACAUUUAGAUUAGGACAGGUGCAAGUGGGCCAAAAGCCCAAUUAGAUUAGAGGAAAAUUUUCAGAAAUAGCAACUAUAUAACAUUAAUUGUAACUUUUAUAACAACAGUUUCAUAAUUACGAAAAAUAGCAAAUUGUAUUUUGUAUUUAAGUAAACUGUUGCUAUACAAAUAUAUAUAUAUACAACAAGAUUUACUGUCCUUAUUUUACUCAAAUUAGUUAAUUUAAAUAUGGAAUAUUUAUCUCAUCUAAUUAAAUUCUCAUAAAUUACUCUUAUUUAAAUUAGUAGAUUCCUUUUCUAAAUCAAACUCAAAUAUGAAGAUUAUUGUUUCUAUGAUCUUCAAAAUUUUAAAAUAUCAUUCUUUUAUAUUUCUAGCUAUUUUUUCUUGUUAGUUUUUUCAUUUUUUUUAUCUUUUUUUUAUUUUAAUUUCUUUUCUUUUUUCAUUUUUGUAUUUCUACUUUAUUUUCUGUCUUCUACUUCUCUUGCUUUUUUUUUCUUUUUUCGUUUUUGUUUUCUUUUCUCAUAUUUUUUUUCGUUUUCUUCUUCUUCUUUAUUAAAAAAAAAUUUCGCUUUUGUUUUUACACUUCUAUUUCUAAUUUCUAUUUCUCUUUCUUCUUCUUUUUUUCCUUUUUUACUUCUUUUUUUUUAAUUUUAAUUUUUGUUUUUUUUAUAUUUUUUUAUUUUUCUUUUUUUUACUCUUCUAUCUCUAUCUUUUAUUUUUAAAAGAUAAAUAUCUAUAUCAUAUAUACAUAUUCAAUAAAUAUAUAAAAUAAAUAGACAUACAGAUAUGCAUAUGUAUUUACGGUAAAAAAACAUACAUAUAUAUCUACAUAUGUAUUUACAGAAGUACAUAUUUGACUCAUGUAUACGUAAACAUAUAGGACACAAAAUUCCUAUAAAAAAGAUGACAAUUAUAUACAUACACAUAUAGGUAAUAAAAAAAAAUACAUAAUACAUAUCUUGAACAGUAAAAAAACUUAAAUAAGUACAGAUGUUACCCUCUAAAAUGACAUAGUAUGUACAGUUCAAAGACAAUUCAACAUUGUAUAAAAUACAUAUAGCUCAGCAUGUAUUUACAUAAUGCAUACCUAAUCCAUAUGUAUAUUCUUAUUUUAUAUCAGUCAUCUUUGUAUUUCGCAAAUAAAUAUGAAGAUAUAUAGUAUAGUUAUAUUUGUUACUGUUUAAUAUGAAUAUGAUAUAUAUUUCAUAAAUACAUAUGUAUGUUUUGUAGUGAAAUGCAUAUUCAGAUUUGUAUGGCUAUGUAUUUUGUAUGUUUUUUGAAUAUGUGUAUGUGAUAUACAUAUUUGUCUUUUCAAAAUAAAAGUUAGACAUAGAAGAAAAAAAAAGAAAAAUAUAAAAAGAAAAAAAACAAAAAAAGAGAAGUGAAAAAGAAAAAAAAAGAAAGAGAAAUAGAAGUAUAAAAAUAAAAGAUAAAAGAAAAAAACUAAAAUAGAAAAAAGAAGGACAAAACGAAAAUAGAAAAAGAAAAAAAAAGAAAUGAGAAAGGAAAAAAAAAACUGAAAAGGAAAAAAAAGAGAAAUUGAAGAGAGAAAAUAAAGUGGAAAGAAAAAAAUGAAAAGAAAAAGAAAUCAAAAUAAAAAAAUAAAAAGAUAAAAAAAUAAGGUGAAAAAAAAACUUAUAAGCAAAAAAAGGUAGAUAUAAGAGAGUGAAAGACAGUAAUGAUGUUUUAUAUUGAAAUCUUGAAGAUCAUGAAGAUAAUUAUCUUCAAAUAUGAAAGAGGAAAAAAAUAAAAAAGAAAAAAAUGAAAAAGAGGAGAAAUAAAAGAGAGAAAAUAAAGCGAAAAUAAAAAAAUAAAAUAAAAUAAAAAAAUAAAAUGAUAAAAAAAAUAAGAUGAAAAAAAAGGGGUAAAAGAUAUGUCUAUAUUUGACGGAGGUAAAAUAAUGGAAUGAAAAUAGAUAAAUGUAAAGUAGUGAGAGUAAAAUAUGCAUUUGUCUAGUUAAUAAGUAAAAUAAUGUUACUCUUGCUAUAAACUGUAGUUUUACAAAAGUGUUGCUAUUUAUUGUAAUUAUAGUGUUAAGUAUGCUACUUUCUGUAAUUUUUUUCAUUAGAUUAUGAUAGGGUCUAUUAAUUUGGGCUCAAUUACCUAACUCUUUUAUUUUCUCCACUUCCCCUUUUAUAUGCUUUGUUAUUAAUUUGUUUAGACUUAGUUGUAAUCCCUACUAAGUCGUUCAAGUCUAUUUUACACAAGUUUUUUCUUAAAAUCAAUCACUUUUCAAACAUCAAUCUUUUUGAAGUGAGUCAAAAGAUAUUUUCAAAUAGUCUGGAUAACCGCAAGUUAGCAGAUAUUUUAGGUGCUUUAAAGACCUUCCUAAAAUAUUAAUAAGAACCGCUUGCCUAAAAUUUCGAAACUUAAAUGAUUUUCCUGUUUUGAAUCAUCUAAGUACUUUAUUAAGGUUUUCUUAAUUCAUUUUCAAAUAAUUAAGUGACGACUCUCAAAAAUCAAAAUUUUCGCAAAACAAUCAUAAUCAAUUUACAUAGUGCAAUAAAAAUAAAAUUGGUACUAUUCUAUUUUACGAGCAUUAAUAAUUGUUACUUUAGGAUAUGUGCAAUGCACGUGUGUUUAAUGUUAAAGAAGAAAAUUACAUAUAUAUUUAUUUGUGCAACGUUAAAAUUUUUAGUUACAAAAUUAUGAGACAUUAGUAGAGAAUAAUACAAUUCAACUUUUAAUAUAGUUUUAUAUAGAAAUGCAGAAUUCAAUAAAUAAUAACAAUUAUUUAAUAACUGUAGCUAGAGUCGUAUCAACACAAACCUAACCUGUGACCUCCUAAUCACAUGACAACAACUUUACCAUAAGAAAUACCAAAUGAUUAUACAAAAAAGUCACACAAAUAGAUUCAUAUAUGGUCUUACCAUUUCGUUGUAUUGCCAGAGUAUAAACGUCUUUGCAAUAAAUCUAUUCAAAAUGAUAAAGUAAAGCAAUAACAUUAGGAAAUAUUUGGCCACAACAUUGACAUGCAAUUGCAUUAGUAUAAAUAACCAUAAUUUUUCCUAAACUAAGCUAAUUUUGAUGUAAUAAUACACUUAAUACUAAUUGAUGUCACGACCCAAAAUUGGAUCAUGACCGACACUAAGGAGGUUAGGACUCCAAAGCAAGGCUCAUCUGAAUUCUACAAAAAAUCGGGUAAAGUUUUCCCUGUUUUGGGGCCUAACAAGAAAAUACUCUGUCUCAAAUCCCCAUCAUAAUAAACCAACGUCACACAAACACAUCAACCCCAACACAAUACACCAAAAUUAUCAACAAAUCACCAACAUCACCAAAUAAUAAUAUGAAAUCCAUCUCCAAAACAUGAUAGAAAGUUCAAUACUCUACAAGUCCAAAUUAAUGAAAGAAUACUCAAAAAUCUAAAGACAUGACGAUGGAGAGACUUUAAGAGUUUUCAAGAAACAGAACAUAACAAAUAAAUAAGCUCUUGCCCACACGAACAAAUACGGGGCUCACCAGGAAUAUGCUACCUCGAGAUCUCUAACUAACGAAAUCCACACCGUUACCUACGUUCUCAACAAAAAUAAUAGCAUAGAGUGAGACACUAGCUCAGUUAUUAAUAAAACUUAACCACAACUGAUUUAAUGGGGACAAAUCAUAAAACAUCAUGAAAUAUAUGUUCUUUUAGAAAACAAUAACGAUAAACAGUAUCUUUUGUUUCAUGUAAGCAAAAUGAACUAAUAGUUCAGAAUAACCUCAAUAAGCAUUAUAUCAUAUCAAAUAUUACAUAUUUGGGAGGUUUCUAAGAAUGAAUCAUAUAAUAAGUGUGGCAUCCUACUUCAAGAAUAACCAAUAACAGUGGACCCCUCAUAAAGGAGUCAAAUAUCAUAUCAGUAGGCCCCUAAUCGAGGGAGAUCAGUAAUAGUAUGCUAGUUUUCCCUUCCCACUAGCGAGGGUUGUAACAGUAAUCAGUAAAUACAAGGUGCACCAGGUCUAACGAUCUCGCUAUUAGCUAUGGGAUUCAAAUCAAGGUCUACUCCCAUUUAUACUUUCUUUGUAAACAAUAGAUAUUUAUAUGAAAGCAUUUUUUAGAAUAGUACAUAACAUUUAAAGUUCAUAUCAAAUCAUAUUACAUGUAAACUUGAAUAAAACACAUGUCAAAAAUACUUAUUUAUCAUAUAAGUGAAGAACUUUCAUAACAUCAGUGUUCAGAUCUCAAGUAACGGUAAAUAUGUCUUGUGAACAUCUCAAAUACCCAAUUUCAAUAUCAUAUAAAGUAAUAUACUUGCUCCAUGUGAAAUUUCAAAACAUUCAGUAAUUCUUGUUUCAUCAAAAUCAUAUGUAAAAUGUGCAAGUUAGGAAAUACAAAUCAUAGGAAGGUUUCAACUCACAAUACACUUGUUGGAAAAUCAAACUUUUCACCCUGAACGAUUCAUAUCACUUCCUUGGAUCUAAUCUAUAAUUAUAUCAUACCAAUCUCAUGUUAAUUUAUUGGUCUUGGCUAAAACAUAGCUACUUCGAAGUAUCCAACUCUAGAAUUUCAGGAUAACUUUCAAUUCCUCGAAUUUCAUACCCAAAAUCACACCUUACUAUGCAUAUUCUUGUCUUUGAUAUCUAAAUUUUAGUACCCAAAAUAAAUUACCUAGACUAAAAAUCAUAAUAAAAUAUAGAAACAAAUUUACCUUAAUCCCAAAAUAAGUUUCCGAUCAAACCCUUGCUCCUUUCUUGCCUUAAAAUAAAUUGUAGGUUGACAUUUUUUUUCCUGUUUGUCUUUGCACGAUUUGCAGCUAGUAGUUAUUCUGCCUCACGAAUGAAUUGGGCAUAAGCCCUUAACAUACCUCCUUUUAUAGUUAAUUUGGGAAGAUGGGCCUAGGCCGCCAUUUCCCUUUCUUGUUUCCCCUUUUUCCCUUUUCCUUUUUAAUAUGGAUUUUAGCCCAUUUUCUUAUUCCUUUAUAUUUUAUUUUUUCCCCCUUUUCAACUAUAAUUACUCACUAAUUUCUGGAACAAGUAAGGAUACUUGACUCGCAUGUCAUUUUUAGACUCCUAAGUGGCUUCUUCAACAGUAUGGUUCUUCCAUAAGACUUUUGCGGACACAAACUCUUUUGACCGUAACCUUCUUACUUGUCUAUCAAUAAUCACCACUGAUUCCUCUUCAUAUGUUAAAUUCUCAUCCAACUACAAAUUCGGUGAUUCAAGCACGCAAGAAGAAUCUGCUAUACACUUUCUUAGCAUAGAGACAUGGAAUACAGGAUAGAUGAAGGACAUUUCAGGAGGAAGUGCCAAACGAUACGCCACACCUCCUACUCAAUCAAGUAUCUCAUAUAGUCCUAUAUAUCUCGGGCUCAAUUUACCUCUUUUCCUUAAUCACAUCACACCUUUCAUAGAAGAGACUCAUAGAAAAACCUUAUCCCCAACUGAGAACACUAGAUCUCUUCUCUUUUUAUCUGCAUAAGACUUUUGUUUGCUUUGAGCGGUAAGCAACCUCUGUCUAAUCAAUUGGACCUCAUCCAUAGCUUUCUGUACCAAGUUUGAUCCUAAAACUUAAUCUUCUCCAACUACAAACCACCCGAUAGGAGAACGACAUCACCUACCAUACAAGGCUUAAUAUGGAGCCAUCUGAAUACUUGACUGGAAACUAUUAUUGUAAGAAAAUUCAGCUAAGGGUAUGGAGCCAUCUGAAUGCUUGACUGGAAACUAUUAUUGUAAGAAAAUUCAGCUAAGGGUAAGUAUGUGUCCCAACUACCUCCAAAGUAAAAAAAUGCAAGCUCUCAACAUAUCCUUUAAAAUUUGUAUAGUACACUCAGACUGUCCGUCCAUUUGCAGAUGAAAUGUACUACUAAGAUCUACUCAGGUACCCAACGCUUCUUGGAAAGAUAUCCAAAAGUGUGAAGUAAACUAUGAUCCUCUUUCAGAAAUGAUGGACAAUAGAACUCCAUAAAGUCAGACAAUUUUAUUCAUAAAUAACUGAGCAUAUUUUACUCCACUAAAUAUAUUCUUUACUGGCAAGAAGUGAGAUGAUUUAGUAAGUCGGUCUACAAUUACCCAUAUCAAUGUAUAGCUUUUAAUGGUUCACGAUAGCCCAAUUAAAAAAUCCAUGGUACCUCUUUCCCACUUCCAAUCAGGAAUUUUGAUCUCUUGCAAUAAUCCUACUGGUUGUUGAUACUCCACUUUCACCUGCUGACAAGUCAAACAACUAGAAACAAAGUUAGAAACAUCUUUCUUGAUACCUUCUUACCAGUACAAUUGCUUCAGGUCAUAGUAUAUCUUAGUGGAACCAGGGUGAAUGAUAUAUCUGGAGUUGUGAGCUUCCUCAAGAAUAGCUCAUCUAAACCUAUAUACAGCCAGUACAUAUAAUUGAUUACCCACUCAAAGAAUAUUAUCAUAAUCAACACUCAUCAUCUUAUUUUGACCAUCUAGGACCUCAUCUCGAUAUUUAUACAACUGCACAUCCUUAAAUUAGGUGGCCUUUAUGCACUCUACCAAAGAGAUUCAGUUUGGACAUAAGCCAACAAUAUCCUUGACUUUCCAACACCAAAUAUGACAACUUUACCUUCAAGUUUAUGCACAUCUUUCAAUAAUUACCUCUUUCCAGGAGCUAUAUGCGCUAAACUACCCAUAGAUUUCUACUUAAAGCAUUAGCAACAACAUUAGCUUUUCCAAGAUGAUACAAAAUAGCACAAUCAUUAUCCUUGGGUAAUUCCAUCCAUCGACGCUACCAAAGAUUUAGAUCUCUUUGCUGAAAAAUGUACAUCAAGCUCUUAUGAUCGGUUUAAAUCUCACAAGUUUCACCGUAUAAGUAAUGCAUCCAAAUCUUAAGAGUAAAUACCACCGGGCUAUCUCCAAAUCAUGUGUAGGAUAGUUCAGAUUGUGCUUCUUCAACUGCCUCAAAGCAUAAGCAAUAACAUGAUUAUGUUGUGUGAGAUCACAUCCAAAUCCAACCCUCGAAGAUUCACAGAAUACUUUAAAUCCUCCAGAACUUAACGAUAAGGCUAAUACUGGUGCAGUGGUCAAACACGUUUUGAGUUUCUGAAAGUUCUACUCACAUUCUUCCAUCCACUGGAACUUCAUAUUUUUUUGUGCUAACCUGGUUAAUGGAGCUACAAUUUUACAGAAAUCUUGAACAAAAUGCCUAUAGUAAUUAGCCAGACCUAUAAAGUUGCGAAUCUCUGUAGGUGAAGUCGAUCUAGGGCAUUUCUACACUACUUCUGUCUUUUUAAAAUACACUGUAAUACCAUUUUUGGAGACAACAUGCCUAAAAUAUAAUACUGAGUCAAGCCAAAAUUCACACUUUGAGAACUUAGCAUAGAGCUUAUGUUCCCGCAAUGUCUGUAAUACUGUCAUCAGAUGACUCUCAUUUUCUUCCUAGCUACGAGAAUAUAUUAGAAUAUCAUCAAUGAAUACUAUCACAAAUUUAUCUAGAAAUUGCAUGAACACCCUAUUCAUCAAGCCCAUAAAUACAACCGUAGCAUUGAUCAACCCGGAAGGUAUCACAAGGAACUCAUAAUGCCCAUAACGAAUUUUGAAUGUGGUCUUAGAAAUAUCCUCCUCCCUGAUUAUAAGCUGAUGAUAACCCAAUCAUAAAUCAAUCUUUGAAAAAAGGAUAGCUUCUUGUAACGGAUCAAACAGGUCCUCUAUACGAGGUAACAGAUACUUAUUACAUAUUAUUACCUCUUUUAGCUAUUUGUAGUCAAUACAUAUUCUUAGAGACCCAUCUUUCUUCUUUACAAAAAAAAUUGGUGCACCCCAUGGUGAUACACUCAGUCUGAUGAAACUCUUACCUAGCAAGUCCUGCAACUGUUAUUUGAGCUCCUUCAACUUUGUUGGUGCCAUAUGAUAUGGGGGUAUAGAUAUUGGCAUAGUAUCAGGUGCCAAAUCAAUACCUAAGUGUACCUCUUGUACUAGAGGUAAUCCCAGCAACUCCUCAGGAAAUACAUCAGAAAAUUCCUUUACCACAGGUAGCUCCUCCAAACUAAGUGUAAUACCCCAUACUUUUUCUAGCAUAAAUUCAUCCCUAAAAUGUUAAGGGAUAGCUCCCAAAAUAAAUACUAUUUAUUUUGCAUGGAAUUCCUUAGAUUUAGACUUUUCAUUGCAUAGAAAAUUGAAUUAACUUUCCAACAAUAUCAGAUUCACCUAAAUUAAAUAACUGAGUAAGAAGUUAUGGCUAUUUUAAGUUCCAGUCAUGAAACACCAUCAUUUGGAUCCUAAGCGUGUCGCGUAUCAGUGUAAAUUUCAAAUUAGCCCAUUCCAGUAGCCCUCUAUGAUAUUGGUGCAUCGAGGAGAGGGUCAAUUUCCAGUUUGUCAAUUUCUAGAGGUCCAGCGCGAUAAUGGUGCAUUGCGCCAUGAGCCAAAAUGGCAUUCCAAAAGGACACCGCGAUGUCUCCACAUCGCGGAGUCUGCCCAGUUUCCAUUCAUCGAUUUUCAGUGAACCACCGCGAUAGUGGCGCGUCGCGAUGGCCACCCAGAUCAGGAAAAUGUACGUUUUCCAAUUUCGUUACAAAGUGUAAAGGGGGUAUUUUGGUAAAUCUCCAACCCCUAAUCCAUCUAAAAACAAAAGAUUAAUCAUAUUUGAAAGCACUUUAUUCUUUAUUCAUCAUUGUCUCUCAAACAAAACCCUAAGGCUCAUACUUCCUCUCCAAGAAACCCAAAAUUUCCUCCAUAAAUUCUCUAAGAUAAUACAAGAUUGAGAAUCCCUAAUUCAAGAACUCCAAGAAGUCAUCUCCAAAGCAUCAAUAGAGAUCCAAGAUUCAAGUUUUCCAUCAAAGAUCACAAAUUAAGGUAUGUGGGGUUUGAACAAGGAUAAUUCUUUCAUCCUUGUGCCGAAAACUUUGCUUUAAUUACAAAUUUACUACAAUGUAUGUGAUUUCUCAUAAAAAUUUAAGUUAGGGUUUAUACCCAUUAUUGUUAUUUACAAGCUUAUGAUAUUUCCAAUGAUUUAGAAAUUGAAUUCCAUGCUUAUGUUUAUAUUUUCAUGCAUAUUGCUGAAGUUUCCAGAUUUUGGAUUGUUUCAUCAAUAUUUACCUCAUUAAGCAUGCUUAUUAUGAUGAUUUAUUACGAGAUUGAUACAUGGGUUACUACCCUAAGAUUGAAUAUUAUUAUUUCAAGAAAUAUGAUGCUUUAAGCAUCUUAUGAGCAGAUUAUUUUCAAUUUUUUAGAAAAGCUUUGAUCUUUUGAUCUAUGGUUUAGCUUUGGAAUUACACUCUAGAUUAUUACAGUGUACAAAAAUUAGAACAAUUUUAUUUACAAAUUUACUCAGAAAAAUGCAUAACUGGUUUUUCUUAUAAAUCCUUAAGCUAGUUUUAAAAGUCGAUUUCCAAUGGUUUGAGCAUACAGAUUUAAAAGGGAGUAGUAUUUAGCACUGAGCGAGAAGUGUAGGAUUAGCGUGCCCUAUCUUCCAAAAAACUACAUAGGCAACGUAGGUAUGAACUCAGAUUAUUCCCAUUUAUAUAGAUGGUAGAUUUAGCUUGUGAUCGAUCACAUGGAUUAGGUUAUACUCCCUGGCAAGAGUAUGACACCUCUCCCCAAUGUGAGGUUUCCUUCUUAAGAGGUCAAGACGUUGGACUCCAUGUAGCUCACAUGGUUUAUGUCGGUUAAGAGAACCUCCCUAACAUUAAAGAUUUUCAGAAUAGCUUUAAAAGUAUUCUCCCUACAGUCUAACAGUUAAGAAUAUAUUCCCUAAAGCCUUGAAGGAAAUCCCUUGCAUAAUAAAUUUUCAGAUAUGAUUUAAGAAUAAGAACAGAAUACAGAUUUUAGAACUAAGUGUUAUGGCUCACAAGAUUUAUAUAUAUUUUUUACUAUUCUUGAUUAUGAUUUUCAGCUUUAAGAUUUACUCAAGCCUACGUGAGUCAUUUACAUUUAGCAUGCAUGAUUUUAUAAACUGUGAUGAUAUUGUUUACUUAUUGCAUACACCCUUAUAUACUCAAUACAUCCUCAAAGUACUGAUCCAAAUAUAUGUCUAUGUGCUACAUUGUCUCAUAAUGUAGGUUAAUGUACUCAGUCUCAGCAGCGUGGGUGAUUUUUUAGCAUCACAUCUAUAGUCCCAUAGUUGGUGAGUCCUCAUAGUUCGGGGACUUAGUUGUUCACACUUUCAGUUUAUUUGUAGAUAUUUCUCAUUUUACUUCAGACAAUUUGGGUCAGCUGGGGCCUGUCCCAAUGACUCUCUAGAUUCAGAUAGUAGAGGCUCGUCGGACUACCAGAUUUAGUAUAUAGAUUUUAUUUUAGUACUCAGAUUUUCAGCAUUUGCUUUAUCAGACUUUUGAGAUUAGUAUGAUUCAGAUAUACCCAGAUGAUUCAGACAGUUUUCUACAUAUAUUAUGAUUUUUUCAUUGUUACUUUCCCCUAUUUUGAGAUUUAGAUUUAGAAAAGGCAGCCAGGGUUAGCUCAGAACUACUUGUAGUUUGGAGCACUGUAUGGCAUCCAAAGAACUCAAAUUUUGGGGUGUUACAAACUUGAUAUCAAAGCUUAAGAUUUAGAUAGACCUAGGGAGUCAGACAAGCCGCGUUACAUAGAGUCUUGAUCAUCGACGUGAGGCACGCCACAUUUAUGAUCAAGAGACUAUGGAGCAUUUAGGAAAUCAUCUCUUCUUUCAUGAUCUAUCAUUUAUUCAUUGCCUUUAUUUGCUUUUAACUCGUGCUUUUACAUAACAAAAAAUGUCUUCUCUCUGAGCUAAUGCCCACAGAAAUGAUAACUAGCCACCUCAGCCCAUAGAUCUUUUGAAUGAGAAUGUGUCACAUGCAGAGUUUUGGGCUUCCUUUCAGGCACUAGCCAAAGCUAUGACAGCUAAUGUUCAGGACACCGUCAGGGUGCAGUGCACCUCAGCAGGAUGGGGACUUAGCCAUACCAGAAUGUAAGACUUUAUGAGGAUGAAUCUGCUAAAAUUCAUUUGGUCAAAGGCAGGUGGGGACCCACAGUUGUAUCUAUAUGAGGUGAAGAAGGUCACCCAAAUUAUGCAUUUUUCUAAAAAAGAGAGUGUAGAAUUGGCAUCUUAUAGGCUGAAGGAUACUGUGUAUGACUGGGUGGUGAUGUGGAAGAAAAGUAGAGGGGAGAAUGCAGCUUCCAUGACUUAGCAGAUAUUUUAGGAUGCGUUCUUAGACAAGUUCUUCCCACGUGAGAUGAGGGAAGCUACGAUAGAAGAGUUCAUGAACCUGAGGCGAGGCUCAAGGACAGUGAAAGAGUAUUGCCUCAAGUUCAACCAGUUGUCUAAGUAUGACCCUAAACCGAUGUGUAACGCCCCAAGAACCUAUCUCAAGACGUUACACAGUACUUAAGGACACACAUGGCCUCAAGCUAACCCUCUAAUCUUGUCAUCCCUUUUUGAACUCACUUUGAUGGUAGUCAUGGCAAAAUAAGAAAGGAUAUCAUAUCAUGGACAUACUCGAAAUCAAAGAUAUGCUGGCCUAUACAAUCAAAAUAUUGAUAUUCUGUACAUACUGAUACUCUAGUCUGACAAAGCCUCUACUAAUCAAGACUAAAGAGCCAUUGGGACAAACCCCCAACUAACUCAGACAGUACUGAAAGCCAUAACAACAAAACUAUAUCACCAAAAAUAUAGACACGGUCCUCAAACUAUGAGGACUCACCACUGAGAAAACAUAGUUGAGGCACUCAAAUAUUGCUAACGCGGCUGCAGCUGAAUACCUGAACCUACAUUACGAGAAAAUAUAGCCCAUAGAAAAAUAUGUGGGUCAGCACUUUGGAAUGUACUAAGUAUGUGGGGGUGCAUGCAACAAUGUAAAUAUCAUCAUAAAUUUCAUGAAAAUAUGCAUAUGUACAAUGAUGGCUCACUUGGCUUGAGUUAAAUUGAAACAUACUUUUCAUGAUCUCAUAGUAAAUAAAUCAUAUGAUAAAAACCUCAUAAAUCAUCAUAAACAAUUCAAAUCUUCAACUCAAGAGUCGGAGUGACUCGGUAAUUCAAUAAACUCUACUCUUAUGGACAUGGGAGGUUCUCAUAACCGACAUAAACCAUGUGGGCUACAUGGAGUCCAGUGUUUUUCCAUCCUAAGGAGAGAACCCCAUAUUGGCAGGAGAGUCGUACUCUUGCCAGGGAGUACAACCUCAAUUUAGUGAUCACAAUCUCAUACUCGGCCUCUAGCCCACAAAUAUCAAUACCAAUCCUACGGUGGCACGUAGUUUUGAGGAAAUACCACAUUUUUCGCUCGGUGCUAAAUACUACUCCCAGACACAAGCUCAGAACACACUAGGAAAUCCACCACAAAUAUCACAAGGGUCUAUCAUGAGGAUCAAAUCAAAUCUCUUUCUCAUUUAGCAAAUCAUAAUCAAUUUGUGGAUUCCUAGCUCGACUCAAAUCAAAUCAAUCUUUCUCAAUAUCAAAAUGUAUCAAUUCAUUAAAUAAUGGAAAAAUCAUUAACUUUGAGGAAAUAUCAACUCAUUAUAACCACUCAAUCUCAUGAAUCAAUAUACUCAAUAAUCUAAUUUGUCAUAAGGAAGCUUAAAGCUUGACACGUAUCUUGAAGGCACUUGAAAUAUCAACUCAUGGUAGAAAUAUGAAAUUCACAAUAUUAAAUAUCAAGUCAUAACUUGAGGAUAGAAAAAUAAUCAUGUAUAACAAAGCUUGAACAAUUUAUAUUCUCAUAGUCUCAUGAUAAAGUAAUUUGGGUAUAAACCCACUUGCAAAAUCAUAUAAAUCCAUAAUAGAAAUCACAGCUUUGGGCACAAGAACGAAAGAAUUGCUCUUGUUCAAAACCCCACAUGCCUUGGAUUAUGAUUUUGGGAUGAACAAGCUUGAUUGAAACACUUCCUUACACUUUUGAGCUAAGUUUCUUGAUGCAUUUAACUUAGAUAUCUUGAAUCUUGAACAACUUGGUGGAAUCUAUGGAAAAAUUCUUGAAUUUCUUGGAGAAGAUUUGAUUUGGAUUUGGAAGAGAGAAACCCUAGUUCUAGAUAUUUCUCGAAAAAGAAAUGGAGAAGGAUGGAUUUCUCUUCUCUACUUGAAUCUAUAUAUAGAGGGCCAAAUUGGGCGGAAAGACCAAAAUGCCCUUGAGCAAAUUCUAAAACUGGAGCCCAAUUUUUGGCCCUAGCGUGAUGUUUCAUGAUCAUGGUCCUUCACUAGAUUUUGGACAAUUUAGAAACUGCUCAGUGGCACGACGCGGUGAAAUCGCGUUGCCACCUUGGUUAUGACCCGGAAGGGCACCGCAACGCGGUGGAAUCGCGUUGGUGCACUGGAAUUUGACAAUUCUAAUAUUGAGUCUUGGCGUGAUGCGUUAAUAUCACGGAGGCUCACUAAAAAGUGACAAUUGGGAUAUUACUCAUCUUUGCGAUACGCUGAGGGUCUAAAUAACGAUGUUUCACGACUGGGACUUCAGAUAGUCAUAACUUCUUUAUUCGGUCUCCUAUUUUGAUGAAAUUGGUAUCUAUGGAAAACUUAUUCAAAUCUCCAUAUGAUAGAAAGUAGAAAUUAGGGAAAUACAACACGGUUUGAAAAUCAUUCACUUUGGAAGUCUUUUCUAUUCGCUCAAAAAAUGAAUUUAGGAUUACGAAACGGUUGGGGUAUUACAAUAUCUCCCCCGUGGAAACAUUCAUCCUCGAAUGUUGCUAGUUAGAAUCAAUGUCAAAGAGAAAACUUGAAAAUUCCCUACUGAAAUAAUCUAUUCAACAGGCUUACUUUACACUAGAAUUUCAGAUACUUCACUGAAUGCACGAAUCAAGAUGGAAGACAACUAUAUAACCAAAUACACAGGAUUAGGAGGAAACUGAAUUAAGGAAAAAUAAUACCUUCAGCUUGAUUUGAACUUACAGAGAAGAGAUAGGGGUACUUAACUCACAUAUUUGCUUCUGUUUCCCAAGUAGCAACCUCAACUAAUUGAUUUCGCCACAGAACUUUAACCAAAGGAACUUCCUUGUUUCUUAGUCUACGGACUUGAUAAUCCAUGAUUUCAACCAGAAUCUCUUUAUAAGAAAGGCUAUCCCAAAUGUAUAAGUUGUCUGAUGGAUCAACAACAACAACAGAAUAGCCAAUGUGCUUCUUAAGCAUAGAAAUGUGAAAGAAAGGUUGGACAGCUGACAACUUCGUAGGCAAGUCAAUCUCAUAAGCUGCUUUCCCAACACGAUCCAAAACUCUGUAAGGGCCAACAUACCAGGGACUAAGCUUUACUUUCUUACCAAAUCUCUUCACCCCUUUCAUGGGUGAAAUUUUUAGGUACACUAAAUCAUUAACUUCAAACUCAAGAGCUCUUAUUCUCACAUCUGCAUAUUACUUCUGAUGACUCUGAGCUGUCUUUAACCUUUCUCGAAUCAGCUUAACUUUCUCCAUAGCUUUAAAUACAACAUUAGGUCUAAUCACAGCAGCUUCACUCAUUUCAAAUCAACCUAUGGGUAAUCUACAUCUCCGUCCAUAUAAAGCCUCAAAUGGAGCCAUUCCAAUGCUAACAUGAAAACUGUUGUUACAAGCAAAUUCAAUUAAUGGUAAAUAUUCAUCCCAACUUCCUUUGAAAUCAAAAACACAUGACCUCAACAUAUCCUUCAAAUUCUGGAUGGUCCUGUCAGCCUGACCGUUUGUCUAUGAAUGAAAAGCGAAACUAAGAUGAACUUGGGUUCCAAGACCCUUUUGAAAGGCUCUCCAAAACUGAGAAGUAAAUUGAGUAUCUCUAUCGGAGAUGAUAGACAACGGAACUCCAUGCAACCUGACUAACUCUCGGAUGUACAACUUAGCAUAGUCCUCAGUGGUGAAAGAUGUAUGCACUAGGAAGAAAUACACAAACUUAGUGAACCUGUCUACAAUGACCCAAAUCAAAUCACAAUGAUGACGAAAGAGAGGUAAACCGAUUAUGAAAUCCAUGUUCACCUCUUCCCACUUCCAAGUAGGAAUGCUAAAUUCUUGCAUUAUACCACGGGUCUCUGGUGCUCUAUCUUCACCUGUUGGCAAGUUGCACACUUCUCUAUGAACUUCACUAUAUCCUUCUUCAUACCAUUCCACCAAUAGAUUUCCCAUAAAUCACAGUACAUCUUGGUAGCACCAAGAUGAAUAGAAUACCAUACGCUAUGCACUUCAGCCAUAAUUCUCUGUCUUAAAUCAUCAAUGUCAGGCACACAGAACCUAUUCUGAAGCCUCGAUACACCAUCUCCCCCUUGGGAGAAAACCUUGACCUUUUGGUCUUUAAUUGACCUUUUCAGUUCGACCAAAAGAGAAACCAUAUCUUGCUUCUCUUUUACCUCCGAAACUAGAGAAGAUUCAGAACUACUCUGGACCCUAACAUUACCCUCAGCUGAAUCAAGAAAUCUAACACCCAACCUCGCCAAACGAUGCACUUCGCAAACUAACUCCUUCUUACUUUUCUCUACAAGCGCUAAACUACCCAUGGACGACCUGCUAAGGGCAUCCGACACUACAUUGGCCUUGCCCGGGUGGUACAACACGCUUAUAUCAUAGUCCUUUAGUAAUUCUAACCAUCGCCUCUGAUCUAGCUCUUUUAUUCCCUCUUACUUUUUCCCUCUCUUUCACCUUAUCAACUUCAAUCUGUUAGGCAUGUAUCAUCAACUGAGAAAGGUCCAUCUCCCUAUUAAGCAUAGUAGAUUACACUCUUUCACAAUGUAACUCGAUACACCGGUCACAAACUUACUCAUGAUGGUCCUGCAGUCAGCCAUCAUACUAGGAGCAUAUUUGGAUAACUGAUUGAAUCUAAGACAAUACUCUUUAAUAGUCAUGGAGCCUUGUCUCAAAUUCAUGAAUUCCUCUAUCUUUGUUUCCCUCAUAUCAAGAGGAAAGAAUCUAUCCAAUAACACAUCCUGGAAUAACUGCCAAGUCAUGAGAGUGGCAUCCUCCCCCUACCCUUCCCCCAUAUAUCAACCCAGUUAUAUGCAAUAUCUUUUAUUUGAUAGGCAGCCAAUUCAAUACUCUCCUCCUCAGUCACGUGCAUAAUCUGGGUAAUCUUUCUUACUUCAUCGAAGUACACCUGUGGGUCUUCACCUACCUUCAACCCAUACAACUCAAGCGGAUUCAUCUGCAUAAAUUCACAAACUUGAGCUACAGCAAAAUUAUUCUCUUAUGGAGCCGGAAUAGUAGCCUGGGUGUUAGCUUGAGCAUUGGCGGUAACUGUCUGGGCUAGCACCUGAAAAGCUACCCGAAAUUUCACAUGAGACACAUGCUCAUUCAAGGAAUCAACGAGUUGAGGUAUCUUAUUAUUUCUAUGAGCUCGAUGAGGAGGCAUUUUCUGUUAUAAGAGAGCACGAGUUAAUCACAGAUAAAAAGACAGUUGUAGGCAUGAUAAACUUUAGAAAGAAAGAAACGACUUUUCGUAAAACGUUCUGUAGCCACUUGCUCAUAGAUGUGGCAUGCUACAUACCAAUAAUCAAGACUCUACGUAACGCGACUUGUUAGACUCCCUAGGACUCUUUAAACCUUAGGUUCUGAUACCAAGCUUGUAACGCCCCAAGAACCUAUCCCGAGACGUCACAAGGUACUUAAGGACACACGUGGCCUCAAGCUAAUCCUCUAAGCCUGUCAUUCCUUUUUGAACUCACUUUGAUGGUAGUCAUGGCAAAAUAAGAAAAGAUAUCAUAUCAUGGACAUACUUAAAAGCAAAGAUAUGUUGGCCUGUAUAAUCAAAAUAGUGACAUUCUGUACAUAAUGAUACUCUAGUCUGACAAAGCCUCUACUAAUCAAGACUAAAGAGCCAUUGGGACAAACCCCCUACUGACUCAAACAGUACUAAAAGCCAUAACAACAAAAUGAUAUCACCAAAAAUAUAGACACGGUCCUCGAACUAUGAGCACUCACCACUGAGGAAAUAUAGUUGAGGCACUCGAAUAUUGCUAAUGCGGAUGUGGCUGAGUACCUAAACCUAUAUUACAAAAAAAUAUAGCCCAUAGGAAAAUAUGUGGGUCGACACUUUGGAAUGUACUGAGUAUGUAGGGGUGCAUGCAAUAACGUAAAUAUCAUCAUCAAUUUCAUGAAAAUAUGAAUAUGUACAAUGAUGGCUCACUUGGCUUGAGUUAGACUGAAACAUACUUUUCAUGAUCUCAUAGUAAAUAAAUCAUAUAAUAAAAACCUCAUAAAUCAUCAUAAACAGCUCAACUCUUCAACUCAAGAGUCGGAGUGACUCGGUAAUUCAAGAAACUCAACUCUUAUGGACAUGGGAGGUUCUUAUAAUCGACAUAAACCAUAUGAGCUACAUGGAAUCCAACGUUUUUCCCUCCUAAGGAGAGAACCCCACAUUGGCUGAAGGGCCAUACUCUUACCAGGGAGUACAACCUCAAUUUAGUGAUCACAAUCUCAUACUCGGCCUUUGGCCCACAAAUAUCAAUACCAAUCCUACAGUGGCACGUAGUUUUGGAGGAAGUACCACAUUUCUCGCUUGAUGAUAAAUAUUACUCAUAGAAACAAGCUCAGAACGCGUUAGAAAAUCCACCACAAACAUCACAAGGGUCUAUCAUGAAGAUCAAAUCAAAUCUCUUUCUCAUUUAUCAAAUCAUAAUCAAUUUGUGGAUUCCUAACUCAACUCAAAUCAAAUCAAUCUUUCUCAAUAUCAAAAUGUGUCAAUUCAUUAAAUCAUAGUAACAUAAUUAACUUUGAGAAAAUAUCUAGACUCAUUGUAACAACUCAAUCUCAUGAAUCAAUAUACUCAAUAAUCCAAUUUGUCAUAAGGAAGCUUAAAGCUUGACACGUAUCUUGAAGGCACUUGAAAUAUCAACUCAUGGUAGAAAUAUGAAAUUCACUAUGUUAAAUAUCAAGUCAUAACUUGGGAAUAGUAAAAUAAUCAUGUAUAAUAAAGCUUGAACAAUUUAUAUUCUUAUAGCCUCAUAAUGAAGUAAUUUGGGUAUAAACCCACUUGCAAAAUCAUAUAAAUCCAUAAUAGAAAUCAACGCUUUGGGCACAAGAAUAAAAGGAUUGCUCUUGUUUAAAAUCCCGCAUACCUUAGAUUAUGAUUUUGAGAUGAACAAGCUUGAUUGAAACACUUCCUUACACUUUUGAGCUAAGUUUCUUGAUGCCUUUAACUUAGAUAUCUUGAAUCUUGAACAACUUAGUGGAAUCUAUGGAAAAAUUCUUGAAUUUCUUGGAGAAAAUUUGAUUUGGAUUUGGAAGAGAAAAACCCUAGUUCUAGAUAUUUCUUGGAAGAGAAAUGGAGAAGAAUGGAUUUUUUUUCUCUACUUGAAUCUAUAUAUAAAGGGCCAAACUGCGAUCAAAGACCAAAAUGCCCUUGAGUAAAUUCUAAAACUGGAGCCUGAUUUUUGUCCCUGGUGUGACGCGCCAUGAUCACGGUCCUUCACUGGAUUUUGGACAACUAGGAAACUGCUUAGUGGCACAACACGGUGAAAUCGUGGUUCUAUCUUGGUUAUGACCUGGAAGGGCACCGCGAUGCUGUGGAAUUGCCUUGGUGUACUAAAAUUUGAUAAUCCUGAUAUUGAGCCUUGGAGCAUUGUGGUAAUAACACAGAGGCUCACUGGAAAGUAACAACUGGGAUAUUACCCAUCUCCACGAUGUGCUAAGGGUCUAAAUAACAAUGUUUCUCGACUUGGACUUCAGAUAGUCAUAACUUCUUGCUCCGAUCUCCAAUUUUGAUGAAAUUGGUAUCGAUGGAAAUAUUAUUCAAAUAUCCAUAUGAUAGAAAGUAGAAAUUAGGGAAAUACUACAUGGUUUGAACAUCAUUCACUUUGGAAGUCUUUCCUAUUUGCUUAAAAGAUGAAUUUAGGCUUACGAAAUGGUUGGGGUAUUACAAGUUGGCUGAACCUAGGUCAAGCAUGAGUAAGUUUGUGAUCGGUGUGUCUAGGUUAGUAUUUAAGGAGUGUAGGACUACUAUGUUUAUUGAAGAUAUGGAUCUUCCUAAAUUGAUAAUGCACGCUCAGCAGAUUGAGGUAGAAAAAAGAAAGAAAAGAGAGAAAAUAAAAGGGCUAGAAUAGGGCACUCUAAUCUUGGUCAGAAUAGGUCUGGAGAAGGAAAUCAUUUGAAGUUUUAGAAUUGUUCAUCUAUGCCUGCACCUUUUUCAACCAGUGCUCCUGCGCCCAGAAAUAGGCAAAAAUAGUGGGUUAACUCUUCUAUGUCCAGAUCUUAGAAUAGUGUGAGUGGUAGGACCAGCUAUCCUCAGUAUGCUAGGUGUGGUAAGAAUAAUCCUGGUGAGUGUCUAAAGGGAUGGAGAGGUUGUUAUGAGUGUGGCCAGCUGGGCCAUAAAAUGAAAGAGUGCCUGCAUACUACAUAGGGAAAUAAGUAUGUUUGUCCUCAGACUCAGGCUAAUAGUUCACUAUCUCGUCUAGGUUGCCUAGCUCCUCCUCAGGGUGCAUCAUCUAGUACCAGUGGUAGUCAGCACCUGAAUUAGUUUUAUUCAUUACCAUCUUGUCAAGAGUAGGAGGAUUCACCCGAUGUCAUCACUGGUAUGCUUCAUGCCUUUUAUUUUAAUGUUUAUGUAUUGUUAGACCCUGGUUAGAGUUUCUCUUAUGUGACCCCAUUAGUUACAGUAAAUUUUGAGAUAAGUUCUGAAAAAAUCCCUGAACCCUUCUUGGUAUCUACUCUAGUAAGUGAGUCAAUUGUUAUCAAACAAAUUUAUAAAAAGUGUCCUAUCACUUUCCCUCAUAAAGUCAUAUUACCAGACCUAAUAGAGUUAGAUAUGAUUGAGUUUAAUCUUAUACUGGGUAUGGAUUGGCUUCAUUCUUAUUAUGCUUCUAUAGACUGUCGCACCCGUGAGGUGAAAUAUUAGUUCCCAGAUAAGCUAGUGUUUGAUUGGUCAGGUAAUUCAAUGUCUCCUAAGAGUCAUUUCAUAUCUUACCUUAAGGCCAGAAAGUUGAUAUCCAAAGGUUGCAUUUAUUAUCUAGUUCGAGUCAAAGACACAAAGUCUGAGACUCUAAUACUUCAAUUCAUCCGAGUGGUCAAUGAGUUUCCUGAUAUUUUUCAAGAAAAUAUCCCAGUGGUACCUCCCAAUAAAGAGAUAGAAUUUGGUAUUGACCUUCUCCUAGAUACUCAGCCUAUUUCUAUCCCUCCUUACUGUAUGGCUCUCGUAGAGCUUAAGGAGUUGAAGGAGCAACUCAAAGAUCUUCUAGAUAAAGGUUUCAUAAGGCCUAAUGUUUCUUCAUAGGUCGCUCUCAUCCUAUUCGUGUGAAAUAAAUAUGGUUCUUUGCAUAUGUGCAUUGACUAUCAUCAGUUAAAUAAAGUUACAACCAAGAACAAGUAUCCUCUUCCUAGAAUUUGACUUAUUUGAUCAACUCCAAGGUGCAAGUUAUUUCUCAAAGAUAGACCUUAGAUUCGGCUAUAAUCAUCUUAAAGUAAGGGAAUUUGAUAUUCCAAAGAUAACCUUUAGAACUCGUUAUAGUCAUUUUAAGUUUCUAGUCAUGUCUUUCGGACUAACCAAUUCCCCAGCAGCUUUCAUGGACCUCAUGAAUGAAGUGUUUAAAUAGUAUCGAGACAUGUUUUUCAUGGUAUUCAUAGAUGACAUCCUUGUGUACUCCCAUAGUGAGGAUGACCAUAUAGAUCAUCUUGAAGUUGUCUUGCAAACUCUUAGUGACCAUUAAUUAUUUGCCAAAUUACCCAAGUGUGAAUUUUCGCUAAGACCAGUAACCUUUCUCGGUCAUAUUAUCUCCGCCAAUGUCAUUAGAGUAAUCCCCAAAAGACAUAAGCCGUAAUAAAUUGUCCUAGACCUAUCUCUCCAUCAGACAUUAGGAGUUUCUUAGGUCUAGAUGGCUAUUACUACCAUUUUAUUAAAGGUUUCUCUUCUAUCACAACUCCUAUGUCUAGACUAGCCCCAAAAAAAGUUAAGUUUCUAUGGUCAGAUUCCAACUUGAAGAGUUUUCAGGAGUUGAAGACUCGACUCACUUCAGCCCCAGUCCUAGGUUUGCUUAAUGGUACAAAUGUUUUUAUGUUGUAUUGUGAUAUCUCUAGAGUUGGUUUAAGGUGUGUGUUGACGCAGAGAGGUAAGGUCAUAGCCUAUGCCUCUAUACAGUUCAAGCCUCAUGAAAAGAAUUACCCAAACCAUAAUCUUGAAUUAGCUGCUAUGGUGUUUUAUUUAAAGAUCUAGAGAAAUUAUCUAUAUAGUGUGUAUGUUGAUGUAUUCACCGACCACAAGAGUUUGUAGUAUGUGUUUACUCAGAGGGAGUUGAAUCUCCAUCAGAGAAGGUGGUUUGAGUUGUUGGAGGACUAAGAUAUGAGUGUGUUGUAUCAUUUGGGCAAGGCCAAUAUAGUGACAGAUACCCUUAGUAGGUUGUCUAUGGGCAGUGCUGCUCAUAUGGAGAAAUAUAAGAAAGAGUUAGCUCGAGAAGUUCAUUGUUUAGCUAGAUUGGAUGUUAGGUUGGUUGAUUCAGCUGAAGGGAAUGUUUGGGUUCAAAGCAGCUCUGAAUCUUCUCUAGUUUUAGAAGUUAAGGAGAAGCAAGAUAAGGAUUCUAGUUUAGUCAAAGCGAAAGAGUUGGUUAAAGACCAAAAAGUAAAGGUUUUCUAACAAGGGUGAGAUUGUGUGUUAAGAUACCAGAAUAGAUUAUGUGUGCCUUUUGUUUAUGAGUUGAGAUAGAGAAUUAUGGCUGAGGCACAUGGUAUGCAUUAUUCUAUCUAUCCAGAAGCUACCAAGAUAUACCGUAACUUGCAGGAAACCUAUUGGGGGAAUGGUAUAAAAAAAGAUAUAGCAGAGUUCGUAGCUAAAUAUGCAACUUGUCAACAAGUUAAGGUGUAACACCAAAGACCUGGUGGUAUAUUGGAAGAGAUUGGUAUCCUCACUUGGAAGUGGGAAGAGGAGAAUAUGGAAUUUAUGACUGGUUUACCCCAAUCGCGACAUCAUUAUGAUUCAAGUUGCAUUAUUAUAGACAGAUUGACUAAGUCAGCAUAUUUCUUGCCAAUUCAUAUGUCAUAUACAUCUGAGGAUUAUGCUAAGUUGUAUAUCUAAGAGUUAGAUUGCAUAGGGUUCCCUUGUAUACCAUCUCAGAUAGGGGUACUCAGUUUAUUUCCCAGUUUUUAGAGGGCUUUUCAAAAGAGUCUUGGUACCCAAGAUCACCUUAGCUCAAAUUUCCACCCUUAGACAGAUGGUCAAGUAGAGAGGACCAUCCAAACUCUAGAAGAUAUGUUGAGGGCAUGCACUCUUGAUUUCAAGGGUAGUUAGGAUGAGUAUCUGUCAUUGAUUGAGUUCGCUUGUAAUAACAGUUAUCAUUCUAGCAUUCAGAUGGCUCCAUUUGAGGCUCUUUAUGGGAGAAGAUAUAGAUCACCCAUAGGUUGGUUCAAGGUGGGUGAGGCCAUUUUUCUUGGGCCUAAUGCAAUGUUUGAAGCUAUGUAAAAAGUUAAGUUGAUUACAGAAAGGUUGAAAAUAUCCUUGAGUCAUCAGAAUAUGAUAAGAAGGGACCUCGAGUUUAAGGUUGAUGAUUUAGUGUAUCUGAAGAUUUCACCCAUGAAAGGGGUGAAGAGAUUUGGCAAGAAGGGAAAGCUUAGUCCCUGAUAUAUUGGCCCUUUCAGAAUUUGAGUCGUGUUGGGAAAGUAUCUUAUGAGCUUGAUUUGCCGCACAUUUGUCAGUCAUUCAUCCUGUGUUUCACGUCCCUAUGUUUAAGAAAAGUAUCAGUGACUCCACUGUUGUGGUUCCUUUAGAAAGCUCAGGUAUUCAGAACAAUCCUUCUUAUGAAGAGAUUCCAGUUGAGGUUUUAGAUUAUCAAGUCUGUAGACUAAGGAACAAAGAAGCUCCUUUGGUUAAAGUUCUUUGGUGGAAUCAGUCUGCUGAGGGCGCUACGUAGGAAGUAGAAGAAGAUAUGCGAGCCAAGGACCCUCACCUUUUCUCCGCAAACUCAGAUGUAGUCGAAGUUAAUACUCUUCCUUGAUCCAAUUCUGUUGUAAUCAGACAUUACAUUCAGCUAUGUAGUUGUCCUCAUGUAAGUUCAUGCACUCAUAGAUUAUUCAGAAGCCUAGAAUGAUUUAGAUUUAGACUCGCAGUUUAUUUAAGUUGUGCAUGCUACCUUAUAUUCUUAGAUUCCUUAAAAAAUUUUGCUUGACUAGCCACAUUCGAGGAAGAAUGUUCCCAGGGGGAGAUCUUGAAAUACCUUGCACUUUUCCAAGCUUAAAUUCAUCCCUAGAAUGUUUAGGGAUAGCUCCCAAAAAUAAUACUACUUAUUUCGCAUAUAAUUCCUUAUGUUUAGACUUUUCAUUGCGUAGGAAAUUGAAUCAGCUUUCCAACAAUAUAAGAUUCGCCUAAAUCCAAUAACUGAGUAAGAGGUUAUGGCUAUUUUAAGUUCCAGUCAUAAAACACCAUCGUUUGGACCCUUAGUGCGUCGCGGAUCAAUGUAAAUUUAAAAUUUUCCCAUUCCAGUGACACUCCGUGAUAUUGGCGCAUUGUGGAGAGGGUCAAUUUCCUAUUUGUCAAUUUUCAGAGGUCUAACGCGAUAAUGGUGUGUCGUGCCAUGUGCCAAAAUGGCAUUCCAAAUGGGCACAGCGAUGAAUGCCAAAAUGGCAUUCAAAAUGCCAAAAUUGUCCAGUUUCCAUUCAACGAUUUCCAGUGAUCCACCGCGAUAGUGGCUCAUCGUGGUGGCCACCCAGAUUAGGAAAAUUUACGUUUUCCAAUUUCGUUACAAAGUUUAAAGGGGGUAUUUCGGUAAAUCUCCAACCCCCAAUCCGUCCAAAAAUAAAAGAUUUAUCAUAUUUGAAAGCACUUUAUGCUUUAUUCAUCAUUCUCUCUCAAACAAAACCCUAAGGCUCAUACUUCCUCUCCAAGAAACCCAAAAUUUCCUCCAUAAAUUCUCCAAGAUAAUACAAGAUUGAGAAUCCCCAAUUCAAGAACUCCAAGAAGUCAUCUCCAAAACAUCAAUAGAGAUCCAAGAUUCAAGUUUUCCAUCAAAGAUCAUAAAUUAAGGUAUGUGGGGUUUGAACAAGGAUAAUUCUUUCAUCCUUGUACCCAAAACUUUACUUUAAUUACAAAUUUACUACAAUUUAUGUGAUUUUCCAUGAAAUUUAAGUUAGGGUUUAUACCCAUUAUUGUUAUUUACAAGCUUAUGAUAUUUCCAAUGAUUUAGAAGUUGAAUUCUAUGCUUAUGUUUAUAUUUUCAUGCAUAUUGUUGAACUUUCUAGAUUUUGGAUUGUUUUAUCAAUAUUUACCUCAUUAAGAAUGAUUAUUAUGAUGAUUUAUUAUGAGAUUGGUACAUGGGUUACUACCCUAAGAUUGAAUAUUAUUGUUUCAAGAAAGAUGAUGCUUUAAGUAUCUUAUGAGCAGAUUAUUUUCAAUUUUUCAGAAAAUCUUUGAUCUUUUGAUCAAUGGUUUAGUUUUGGAAUCCACUAUAGAUUAUUAUAAUUUACAGAACUUACAACAAUUUUAUUCAUAGAUUUACUCAGAUAAAUGCAUAACUGGUUUUUCUUAUAAAUCCUUAUGCUAGUUUUAAAAGUGGAUUUCCAAUGGUUUGAGCAUACAAAUUUAAAAGGGAGUAGUACACCGAGUGGGAAGUGUGGGAUUAGCAUACCCUAUCUUCCAAAAAACUACAUAGGCAACGUAGGUAUGAACUCAGAUUAUUCCCAUUUAUAUAGAUGGUAGAUUUAGCUUGUGAUCGAUCACAUGGAUUAGGUUAUACUCCCUGGCAAGAGUAUGACACCUCUCCCCAAUAUGAGGUUUCCUCCUUAGGAGGUCAAGACAUUGGAAUCCUUGUAGCUCACAUGGUUUAUGUCAGUUAAGAGAACCUCCCUAACAAUAAAUAUUUUCAGAAUAGUUUCAAAAGUAUUCUCCUUACAGUCUAAUAGUUAAGAAUAUAUUCCCUAAAGCCUUGAAAGAAUUCCCUUGCAGAAUAUGUUUUCAAAUAUGAUUUAAGAAUAAGAACAGGAUACAAAUUUUAGAACUAAGUGUUAUGGCUCACAAGAUUUAUACUAUAUGUUUUACUAUUCUUGAUUAUGAUCUUCAGCUUUUAGAUUUACUCAAGCCUGCGUGAGUCAUUUACAUUUAGCAUUCAUGAUUUCAUAAACUGUGAUGAUAUUGUUUAAUUAUUGCAUACACCCUCAUAUACUCAGUACAUCCUCAAAGUACUGAUCCACAUAUAUGUCUAUGUGCUACAUUGUCUCAUAAUGUAGGUUCAGAUGAUCAGUCUCAGCAGCGUGGGUGAUUUUUGAGCAUCGCAUCUACAUUCUCGCAGUUGGUGAGUCCUCAUAGUUUGGGGACGUAGUUGUUCACACCUUUAGUUUAUUAGUAGAUAUUUCUUAUUUUACUUCAGAAAAUUUGGGUCAGCUGGGGCCUGUCCCAGUGACUCUCUAGAUUCGGAUAGUAGAGGCUUGUCGGACUACCAGAUUUUGUAUAUAGAUUUUAUUUUAGUACUCAAAUUUUCAACAUUUGCUUUAUCAUACUUUCGAGAUAAGUAUGGUUCAGAUAUACCCAUAUGAUUUAUAUAGUUUUCCUCAUAUAUUAUGAUUUUUUUCAUUGAUACUUUCCCCUAUUUUGAGAGUCAGAUUUAGAAAAGACAGUCAGGGUUAACACAGAACUACUUAUAGUUCGGAGCAUCGUGUGGCAUCCUGGGAACUCAGAUUUUGGGGUGUUACACUAAGUGUUCCCUCUGUAACAUUACUUAUCAUAGCCAAGAGACCCAUGCAGCUUUUCUUCUCCUCUAAACUAAGUGUUCCCUCUCUAACAUCACUUAUCAUAGCCAAGGGACCCUUGCAACCUUUAUUCAAUAAUCGUCGAGCCUUCCUAAGAGAUACAACUUUACUAACCUCUAGAACUUGACCCCAUUUUAAUACAAAACUAGAUUCCUUGGGUAUCUCAAAUCGAACUAUCUUUGGAUGAAAAUCUAUAGUAGCAUAGUAAGAAGAUAACCAGUCCAUGCCCAUUAGUACAUCAAAGUCAAUCAUAUCAAGUACAAUCAGGUCAACAAGAGUAUCCCUACCUUUCACUAUAAUUUGGUUGUAAUGAUACACAUACUCAACUAACAAAGAAUCUUCCACAGGGGUGGAAUUAAGAAAAGGACAAUUUAACAUCUCUAGUUGUCUAUCAAAUCUCACAGCAAAGUAUAUGGACACAUAAAAGUGGGUAGAACCUGGAUCAAUCAAAGCAUAAACAUCAAAUGAACAAAUGGAAAAAAUACCUAUAACCACUGCAUUCGGGGCCUGCACAUCCUUCCUAAGCGUAAAAACUCUUGACUGGACUCUACCAGUAUUUCCUUGUGCCUUAUUGCCAGCAACCAAAUCUUCAUUACCUCGACCUCUAUUUCCAAUACUUACAGUAUUACAAGUAGCUUGACUAGGUAUAGCUAACUGAAUAGAACCAUGAAUAACAUUUCUCUGAGGCUGACAACAAUACCUAAUGCGAUGAACUUACUGACAACAUUAAAAAAAUACUCUGGUCAAAAUAGGACACUAGCCCAUAUGUGAUUUUCUGAAAGUCUGGCAGGAUAGAGUAGUGGCAUACAUAUAGCUAGAACUACGAUACCCCUGAGAUGCUGAAGACCCCUGAGUUACUUAUCUAGAAGGUGACUUGUACACAGACUGUGAAACUGAAUCUGUCCCUGUAUGAUGGCCUUGAUUUCCAGCUUUGCGAUUUGUACUUAAGUUACCAUUGAAAUAUCCACGUAUCUUAGACUUCUUAUGAACCUCAUAAGUUGUCCGAUACACACGACCCGUAUCCUCAAUCUUUCUAGCAAGAUCCACUAUCUCAUAAUAGGUUAAAAUAUUUAUUUGUGGGCCCACUAUAUUAUAGAGAAGACCAACUAGACUAUUUACAAACCUCUGGACUCGAGCUGCUUCUGUAGACACCACAUACGAAGCAAAUCUAGCCAUCUUGCAAAACUUACUAUUAUAGGUCGACAGAUCUAUAUCUGGAGUCUUAACUAAUUUCUCAAACUGAGCUACAUAUUUCUGUUUCUAAUAGCCAGGAAGAAAGGUAUCCAUGAAGAACUUAGUGAGCUCAUCCCAUGUCAGUGGUGCUGCUCCAAUAGGCCUUCCUAGAAAUAAAGUAUCAUACUAAGUGUUAGAUAUGUCCUCUAUUUGUAUGAUACAAGUUCUAAAACCUUCUCACUAGAAUAUCCUAAUACAUGCAGCGCCUUGAAUGUACCAUCCAAAAAUCUCUGAGGAUCAGCUAAACUAUCUGAGCCUGUGAAUUUUGGUGACUUUAACUUUAGGAACUCCUGCAAGGAUACCUCCUAGUUUCCAAAGUUUAAAUUCUGAAUAGGUGCCUGGAAUUAUGGCUAAGGCUGUGCAGAAUUAUGUUGACCACCCCAAUCCUAUCUAUCGAGUUGGUUGGCCAAUCCCUAUAUGGCUCGUUACAUGGAAGCAAGUGCUUCAGCAGUACUACCCUCAUGAGAUGGUGGAGGUGGACUAGCAUUUCUUUAUGGAGUUUGCUCUCUUGAACUUCUUAGAGUGGAACUACGAUUCCCUGCUGUAUCAUGACUACCCCUACCUCAGCCCCUUCUAUGAGCUCUGCCUCUUCCCCUACUAUUAGUUGCUCUAUGAACUAACUGAUUAGCAAAAACAAAAUAUUUAGAUUAAUCAAAUUAGUCCUAAAAGUCACACACGUAAGCAAUAAUGAGAAACAAAAUCAAGACACAUCAUAUCACGCUCUCGCAGAAUCACAAUUAUUGUCAUGAUCCGAGGCUACCCCCUAGUCGCAACAAUGGUGCUUACAGUCACAAGUGACCACAAGCUAACCCAUGAGCUGGUAUCUGCUGUGCGCACUAAAUGGAUAGUAAUGAAAUACAUAAGCGAAAAAUAAACUAACAUAGUACUGAAAUUUGAAUACUGCAAAAUGCAUCAAUGUCUGAACAAUUGAUAAAAUACUACAUUCAUAUAAACUGACCUCCUGAUCACACGACAACAACUUUACUAGCAAGAAUACCAAAUAGUUACACCAAAAAUUUGCACCAAUAGAUUCAUAUAACGUUUUACCAUUUUAUUAUAUCUAUUCAAAAUGAUAAAGUAAAGCAACAGCAGUAGGAAAUAUUCGGCCACAACAUCACCAUGCAAUUCCAUUAGCAUAAGCAGCCAUGAUUGUGUUUUUUCUUAACUAAGCUAACUUUGAUAUAAAAUACACUUAGUACUAGUGUUCCACUUGCUAGAAUUCACAAUAAAAUUAUUGUGGAUGAAAUAGAAAAUAGAGAUGUAUUUAUACCCACAUUGGAGGGACAAUUUUGUGAAAUUAAUUAAUAGCUUUAGAUUACUGUAAUAAUGUUUCACUCAAUUCACACAAAUGCAAUAAAUGUAAAAUUUAGAAAUAUUUAUUUUAUAGGCAUUAGUAAUUAUUACAGUGAAGGUUUUGGAACAAUUGGCAAAACUAUGAGCGAUUACAAUCUAUUUAUUAGUUAUCGUACACGUUUUUAUUGCCAAAAGUUGUCUUAUGUAUUGUUAUAGAGGAAAAUAAAAUUAAAUGUGAUUUAAUUUAUUUGAUUUAUAAAUAAAUUCGGCCUCCUAGAGUUGCAUAAACACAAAUCCAACUCAUGACCUCCUGAUCACAUGGUAACAACUUUACCAGCAAGAAUAUCAAAUGACUACACAAAAAAGUCACACCAAUAGAUUCAUAUAUGAUCUUGCCAUUUCGUUGUACUGUCAGAGUAUAAACAUCUUUACAAUGAAUCUGUUAAAAAUGAUAAAGUAAAACAACAACAUUAGGAGAUAUUCGGCCACAACAUCGACAUACAAUUCCAUUAGCAUAAGCAACCAUGAUUUUUUUCUUAACUGAGCUAAUUUUGAUGUAAUAAUAUACUUAAUACUAAUUCACUUACUAGAACUCACUAUAAAAUGAUUAUAGUUGAAAUAAAAAAUAAAGAUGUAUUUGUACCCGCAAAGAAGGGAUAAUUUUGUAAUAUUAAUUAAUAAUUUUAGAUUAUCAUUGUUGACACCUAUUUUUUUCCCUCCAUGACUAAAUUUAAUGUUGAGUUUCUUUGGAUUUUAAUAAAAUUGAAAUAUUUAUUUCAUCCGAAUAAAAACUUUUUCAAAAUAUAUAUGUACUUAAUUUUGUCAUUUGAAGUAGCGAUUAUAUAUUAUCAUAUUUAAUUAUACAAAAUUAUAUAAUUUUGAUACUUAAAUAUUUAUUUUUAUAAAAUAUUGAAUUUUAAUCAAGGAUUAUCUUAAAGUAAUUUUAAAUGAUUAAAAUCUUGAUUUAAAUAUAAUUUAUUCUCAAAAAUAAUUUAUUUUGAUAAAUAUGUGUUUGAUUUUAUUAAAUCAAGAAAACUAGGGAUUGAAUGAGGUAUUAAUUCGUAUCAAAUUUCAAUUUAAUUUAAUUAAUUUAUUUAUUUCGGUCAUAACUGGAAUUAAAUUUGGUCAAAAAUUAAGUAAAAUUGACCAACCCUUAAAUAGAUUAGGGUUACUUUUUAAAUAACCCCAAAAUUGACCCAUUCUCUUUAAUUUUUCAGCCAAUAGACCCCUUGACCCGCCAGGCCCAAACAGUAGCCCAACUCCAAAUCAGCCAGUGACCCGACCCAAUCCCCUUCUCCUUCCCCUCUUAUCUGAUAUGCACAACACUAGGAAAACAAUGACAACAAUAUACCACACCAACACUGACAAAUAACAAACUCCAAAAACCCAACCAGUGAUCGAACACCCUACCCGAUAUCCGCUUCCAGCUCAGACAUACCCAGCACUAACAACAAACCCAAACAACUAAACCCGAAAUGAUCGAACUGGCAUAAAUCAAAAAAUCCAAAAUCCUUCUUUGAAUUUCGAAUUCAUACUUGUAUAGUACGAUUUCACAUCAUCCUAUCCUAAUCCCAUAUCUAAAUUCAUUUUCCCUCCCUCAAAAUUCCCUCCCAAAAUCUAAGAAUUUUUUAGAAUUUGACACCUGACAUAAUUCCAUUCGUCGAUAGUAUGAUCGAGGACGAAAUAUAAUUCUGGAUCAUCUAUUUUUUGAGAUGAAUCAACAACCAUUUGAUUCAAUAAAUUUUCCUUCAAGAAUCCCCAAAUUAUCCCUCAAGUGGUUCAUCUCACAUCGGUGAAAAAUUAAAAUCCACCCUCAUUUUUUGGCUCCUAUAAAUAGCUAUUUACGGAGAAAAUUUUCUAGGUCUUCAAUGUUGAAAAUAGAUCAAGCAAAACUUUAUAUCCUAGUAAGAAUUUUUUUUCAUAAAAUCGGGUACUAUUUGAAGUUUUCGGAGUCACGAUUAAGCUUCUCGGUGGUGGUCGAGAUACUUUCGAAGCCUUGAGUCUCAUUUUGAUGCCUCAAAAGAGAUAAACUUCUCGAUGCUUUAUUUCUUUUUCAUCAUUUUUCCUCAUUUUUUCUUUCGAAGUAGUAGUAGUAGUAAUUUAGUUCAAUUAUGCUUGCUAGGAGUAGCUGUAGAAGCCUUGAAAGGCAUAGGAUCUAUUGCGCUGAAAUGUAAUAGUUUUACUGUAGUCGAUUCGUUAUUUGAUCUAUAUGCUAGCCUGUCCUUCUUUUACUGUCGGAUUCAUGUUUAAAGGUGUAAAAUAGUGUGAAAUCCCUGUUUUGCUUUGCUGGUUGAUUGUAAGCAGAUUUUGAGUGUCUUUUUUUUGUCUAUUGAAAUUUUCGUAGUUGUUCCAUUAGGAUAUGUGUCCUUAAGUGCAAUUUAUCUUUCUCUUGAUUAAUUUCGUUAGCAAUCUCUAUAGGAAAGAAUAGUUUUUGAGAUGUCAUUCUUUUAUGAUCAUAAGUUUGUUCUUUUUCACCUAUUUCUUUGUGUUUUAUUUUUGAUGAUUGCUCUGAUCGAGUUUGGUUUGAAAUACAUGUUCUUUCUUUUUUCCAUUUUCGUUUACCAAAAUGAACUUAUAGUCUUGUUUUGAUUUGAAUGCGGAGAAUUUCUUUUUAUUGUGCGUGUAUGGGGGGGACUUAUCUUUGGUAAAGUAGCAACGUGUUCUCGAGGUUAGAUAGGUGUUUUAUCUUCCGAUGAGUUUGUAAAACGUUAACUUGUUGGUUGGAUUUAUUUAGUCUUUCCGAUUCUAAAACUUUGGCAAGUGAUGUAUUCCUGCGAUUUGGGUUGUAAAGGUAGCUUGAAUAUGGUGACUUUGUUACCAUGUUUAAAGCGGUUGCCUAAGAAAAUCCACUUGUCUACGCAUAUUCUUUCCCCUUUUUUUUCUCUCUAUAUGAUAAUAUGAAGAUAUUCGCGAAGUCUUUAAUCAUAAUGAUAUGAAACAAAUCAGAUAACUUUCCCUGCUCGUUCUCUUUUGGUCUAAAAAAUAUAUUGAUAACCUGAGGGUGAAAUAGUUUUCUAUAUAUGCAAUCCUAUGACUGAGAAAAGAAUGAUCCCUUGUUAGAAUUAUGUGAUGUUUUCUUUGAUGUGAUUGUUUUUCGUAGCCCCAAAUGAAUACUAGGGAUAUGUUUCCAAUGCCUCUUAUUUGCCUCCCUUAUUUGUUUACGAUUGAUUAACAUUUACUUAAGAUGUACAAUCAAUCACCUUUCUUUCUUUUAGUUUACUGUAUAGUGAUUUAAAAUUAGAUAUGAAUAAGAACUCUUAGAACAUAGGAUUUUAUUAACUUAUGAUUUAUUUAAUCUUUGAUCUUUUGUAAACUUUCCUUCUCCUUUGUUAAAUCUUUAAAGCGUCCAGUCAAUGUCCUCGCUUGGCGAAAGAUUUUCGUAGUGUUAAAAUGUAAUUGUUUGACUGCACUCGCUUGAAAUUAUGAAGCUUUUCUUUGAAUCCAUCUUGUCUUCUCUAAAAAAUUUAAAUUUCUUUGUUCGUAUGCUUUCCCCAGUUCGUGAAGUAUAGUUCUUCCUGUAUUUGUUGCUUGUAUAUCCUUUACAGUAUCAUAACUCCUCUAUCAUGUUAAGCCGGUAAUUUUAAAUGAGUAUUAAUUCUUUUAUACUUUCUCUUUGCGUGAACUUGCCUUGGAGUCCAAAUGGACUCAAUUUUGCCUCGCAUUUUCUUUAUGGCCAAUGAGGCCCAUCCUCUCGAGUCAAGAUUUAGAAUAAGUCUUAAAUCAACUACAUAGCACAUGAAUGCAAGGAGUCGAAAGAAGAAGAAUGGGUUAAAGUUCAUCUUUGAGGCGUCUAAGAGACUUGAAUGUCUCAUUUUAUUUAUUUAUUUAUUUAUUCAUUUCAUUGUUGUCUUUAUUUAUUUAUUUAUUUAUUUAUUUAUUCCUUCGUUUCAUUAUUCAGUCAUUUGGGCCUCGAAGCCAAAGUUAUAUAUUUAAUACAGGUGAAGCAGAUUUUAGGCCAAUGGGCCUAAAAAAUAGUUUAGGAUAGGUUACGGGCCAAGGCCCAACAUUUAGAUUAGGACAAGUGCAAGUGGG